GGGGGCGCACUGGUUUCGACUCAUCGUUAGAAGCACAGGCGGCAUGUCGAGGAUGGUUCCGUUGGCCUCGUAAAAAACCGGACCAAAACAAAUAAACGCAGAUCACGAAGAUCUCGCUCUCGCGGCUUAAUUGACCGUGACGUUUUCGCAGCGACGCCUGCUAGCGGCGGAAACGUGGACAGCAGGCUGGCGAAUCGGCGGAGCGACCGCGACCGGUUCGUGAAUCGAAAAUUCGCGGACGCUCGGGAGUUGGCAGUGUGCCGGCGCAACGUCAGCUCCCUAAAUUAAGCACCGGCUAAACAUGUAGAAGCUUGCGUCGAAGGCGACGAGGACAGGGGUUCAACUCCCCUCGCCUCCAGAA
rnacentral:tmRNA from 1 species